AGUGAAUAGAUACCCGGGUAGUCCCAGCUGUAAACGAUGCGCGUUAGGUGUAUCGGUGACCACGAGUCACCAAAGGUGCCGAAAGAGAAAUCGUGAAACGUGCCGCCUGGGAAGUACGGUCGCAAGGCUGAAACUUAAAGGAAUUGGCGGGGGAGCACCACAACAGGUGGAGCCUGCGGUUUAAUCGGACUCAACGCCGGGAAACUCAUCAGAUAAGACAGCUGAAUGAUAGUCGGGCUGAAGACUCUACUUGACUAGCUGAGAGGAGGUGCAUGGCCGUCGUCAGUUCGUACUGUGAAGCAUCCUGUUAAGUCAGGCAACGAGCGAGACCCACGCCAACAGUUGCCAGCUCGUCCUCCGGGAUGGAGGGGACACUGUUGGGACCGCCUCUGCUAAAGAGGAGGAAGGAAUGGGCAACGGUAGGUCAGCAUGCCCCGAAUUAUCUGGGCUACACGCGGGCUACAAUGGGUGGGACAAUGGUAUCGACACCGAAAGGUGAAGGCAAUCUCCUAAACCCAUCCUU
rnacentral:rRNA from 1 species